GACGAACGCUGGCGGCGUGCUUAACACAUGCAAGUCGAACGAUGAAGCCCAGCUUGCUGGGUGGAUUAGUGGCGAACGGGUGAGUAACACGUGAGUAACCUGCCCUGGACUCUGGGCUAACCCCGAGAAAUCGGAGCUAAUACCGGAUAGGACCUUUCCCCGCAUGGGGUUUGGUGGAAAGGUUUUCGGUUUGGGAUGGACUCGCGGCCUAUCAGCUUGUUGGUGAGGUAAUGGCUCACCAAGGCGUCGACGGGUAGCCGGCCUGAGAGGGUGACCGGCCACACUGGGACUGAGACACGGCCCAGACUCCUACGGGAGGCAGCAGUGGGGAAUAUUGCACAAUGGGCGCAAGCCUGAUGCAGCAACGCCGCGUGCGGGAUGACGGCCUUCGGGUUGUAAACCGCUUUUAGUAAGGAAGAAGGGGCUUCGGCCUUGACGGUACUUGCAGAAAAAGGACCGGCUAACUACGUGCCAGCAGCCGCCGUAAGAC
rnacentral:rRNA from 1 species